rnacentral:rRNA from 1 species
GAGGGUCUCCGCGCCUCUCUUUGGGUUUUUCGAUAGAAAUAAGGAUAAAGAGAGACCGCGGGGGGCCUCUGUAUUCGCUGCGUAGGGGGGGAAUAUUCUUGACUCUGUAGGGAGACGUCCGACUGCGAAGCCAUUUCCCAGAAUGUCUUCUUUAAUCAAGAACCGAACUCAAAGGGUUUGAAGGCGAUCAGAAUCCCGCCCUUGGUUCUGCCCGGUAAAGAUACCAACAGGGGUCCGUUCGGCGGAAAAACCCCUUAACGGGCAGCUUCCCCGGAAACGAAAGUUCUUUGGGUUCCGGGGGGAAGUAGGUUGCAAAGCUGAAACUUAAAGAAAUUGACGGAAGGGCACCACCAGGAGUGGAGCCUGCGGCUUAAUUUGACUCAACACGGGAAAACUCACCUGGCCCGGACACCGUGAGGAAUUGACAGAUUGAUAGCUCUUUCUUGAUUCGGUGGUUGGUGGUGCAUGGCCGUUCUUAGUGGGUAGAGUGAUUUGUCUGGUUUAUUCCGAUAACGAGCGAGACUCUAGCCUACUAAAUAGUCAUCGGAUAAUUGCGUCCGGAAGACUUCUUAGAGGGACAAGCGGUAUUCAGCCGCAUGAAGUUGAGCAAUAACAGGUCUGUGAUGCCCUUAGAUGUCCAGGGCUGCACGCGCGCUACACUGGAGGAAUCAGCGUGCUGUAACCAUUGCCGAAAGGUAUUGGUAACCCCUUGAAAAUCCUCCGUGAUCGGGAUCGGGAAUUGCAAUUAUUUCCCUUGAACGAGGAAUUCCUAGUAAGUGUGAGUCAUCAGCUCACGUAGAUUACGUCCCUGCCCUUUGUACACACCGCCCGUCGCUGCCCGGGAUUGGGCCGUUUCGAGAAAAGCGGGGACUGCUGUUUGAUACCUGCUGCUAUAGGGUUAUGCGGAACGGA